rnacentral:lncRNA from 1 species
CAGAAACUAAGUGGUUGUCAAAACAAACUCGGCCACUAAUCAAUAUAGGAAGCUAAGCGGCCAAUUCCCCGCCCAUACAAAGAAUUGAUCAACCUAACCACUACAUCGACCAGGAAGCUAAGUGAUUCUAAAACCAAGUACAAAUUCCCCGCCCAUACAAGGAAUCAUACAACUCAGCCGCCGACAUGAGUCCUCAUUGAAAUCCCCACCUAAUCUUAA